UACGAAGGGUGCAAGCGUUGCUUGGAAUUAUUGGGCGUAAAGGGUAGGUAGGUGGUGACAUUUGUCUGGGGUGAAAUCCCUGAGCUUAACUCAGGAAGUGCCUUGGAAACGGUGUCACUAGAGUGCUGGAGAGGUUCGCAGAAUUCUUGGUGUAGCGGUGAAAUGCGUAGAGAUCAAGAGGAAUACCAGAGGCGAAGGCGGCGAACUGGACAGUUACUGACACUGAACUACGAAAGCGUGGGGAGCAAACAGG
rnacentral:rRNA from 1 species